AGAGUUUGAUCCUGGCUCAGAACGAACGCUGGCGGCGUACUUAACACAUGCAAGUCGGACGAGAAAUUCCGAUUCGUCGGGAGAGUAAAGUGGCGAACGGGUGAGUAACACGAGGGUAAUCUACCCUUAAAUUAGGGAUAACCUUGCGAAAGCGAAGCUAAUACCUGAUAAGACUACGAUCUCCAAGGAGAUAGUAGGAAAAGAUGGCCUCUGUUUCAUGCUAUUGUUUAAGGAUGAGCCCUUGCACUAUUAGCUUGUUGGUGGGGUAAUGGCCCACCAAGGCUACGAUGGUUAGCUGGUCUGAGAGGAUGAUCAGCCACACUGGGACUGAGACACGGCCCAGACUCCUACGGGAGGCAGCAGUGGGGAAUAUUGGACAAUGGGCGCAAGCCUGAUCCAGCCAUGCCGCGUGAGUGAAGAAGGCCUUCGGGUUGUAAAGCUCUUUUGGCGGGGACGAUGAUGACGGUACCCGCAGAAUAAGCCCCGGCUAACUUCGUGCCAGCAGCCGCGGUAAGACGAAGGGGGCUAGCGUUGUUCGGAAUUACUGGGCGUAAAGGGCGCGUAGGCGGUCUGUUAAGUUAGGCGUGAAAGCCCUGGGCUCAACCUGGGAGGUGCGCUUGAUACUGGCAGGCUAGAGUGCAGGAGAGGAUGGUGGAAUUCCCAGUGUAGAGGUGAAAUUCGUAGAUAUUGGGAAGAACACCGGUGGCGAAGGCGGCUGCCUGGGGUCUUGCUGACGCUGAGGAACGAAAGCUAGGGGAGCGAACGGGAUUAGAUACCCCGGUAGUCCUAGCUGUAAACGAUGGGCACUAGGUGUCGGGAGCUUCGACCCUCUCGGCGCCGCCGCUAACGCAUUAAGUGCCCCGCCUGGGGACUACGGCCGCAAGGCUAAAACUCAAAGGAAUUGACGG
rnacentral:rRNA from 1 species